rnacentral:rRNA from 1 species
CACGUAGGGUGCGAGCGUUGUUCGGAAUUACUGGGCGUAAAGAGUGUGUAGGCGGUGCUCUAAGUUCGGUGUGAAAUCUCCUGGCUCAACUGGGAGGGUGCGCCGGAAACUGGGGUGCUGGAGCGCGGGAGAGGAAAGCGGAAUUCCUGGUGUAGCGGUGAAAUGCGUAGAUAUCUGGAGGAAUACCGGUGGCGAAGGCG